GUUUCCGUAGUGUAGUGGUUAUCACGU
rnacentral:piRNA from 11 species